UUUAAGUGUAACCAUGAGUUUCCGUGUCCAAUUUUGAUCAUCUGUCUUAUUUGAAUUUUUUUAGAUUAAUAUGUUUACUGUAGUUAGAUGAUAAAAUAUGAAUAGUACCGUGUGACAUGUUUUUUAAUUUUUUUGAAAAAAAUUUCAAAUAAGACGAAUGUUUAAAGUUAGACAUGAAAACUCAUGACUGCACUUAAA
rfam:Oryza sativa Japonica Group DNA, chromosome 11, cultivar: Nipponbare, complete sequence.